CAUCGGGAUUGAAGCUUGCUUCAAUUGCCGGCGACCGGCGCACGGGUGCGUAACGCGUAUGUAACCUACCUAUAACAGGGGCAUAACACUGAGAAAUUGGUACUAAUUCCCCAUAAUAUUCGGAGAGGCAUCUCUCCGGGUUGAAAACUCCGGUGGUUAUAGAUGGACAUGCGUUGUAUUAGCUAGUUGGUGAGGUAACGGCUCACCAAGGCAACGAUACAUAGGGGGACUGAGAGGUUAACCCCCCACACUGGUACUGAGACACGGACCAGACUCCUACGGGAGGCAGCAGUGAGGAAUAUUGGUCAAUGGACGCAAGUCUGAACCAGCCAUGCCGCGUGCAGGAAGACGGCUCUAUGAGUUGUAAACUGCUUUUGUACGAGGGUAAACUCACCUACGUGUAGGUGACUGAAAGUAUCGUACGAAUAAGGAUCGGCUAACUCCGUGCCAGCAGCCGCGGUAAUACGGAGGAUUCAAGCGUUAUCCGGAUUUAUUGGGUUUAAAGGGUGCGUAGGCGGUUUGAUAAGUUAGAGGUGAAAUCCCGGGGCUUAACUCCGGAACUGCCUCUAAUACUGUUAGACUAGAGAGUAGUUGCGGUAGGCGGAAUGUAUGGUGUAGCGGUGAAAUGCUUAGAGAUCAUACAGAACACCGAUUGCGAAGGCAGCUUACCAAACUAUAUCUGACGUUGAGGCACGAAAAGCGUGGGGAGCAAA
rnacentral:rRNA from 1 species